rnacentral:rRNA from 1 species
CCCAGGCCUUGUACACACCGCCCGUCACAUCAUGAAAGCCGGUUGUGCCCGAAGUCGCCCCUCAAAAGGUGCCGAAGGUAUGGCUGGUGAUUGGGAUG